GGUCCCAUCGUCUAGCGGCCUAGGACACCGCCCUCUCACGGCGGGAACGCGAGUUCGAUUCUCGCUGGGAUCACCA
rnacentral:tRNA from 1 species